rnacentral:rRNA from 1 species
AGCAGCCGCGGUAAUUCGGAGGGUGCAAGCGUUACUCGGAAUCACUGGGCGUAAAGGACGCGUAGGCGGGAUGCCAAGUCUGAUGUGAAAUCCUAUGGCUCAACCAUAGAACUGCAUUGGAAACUGGUAACCUAGAGUAUGGGAGGGGGAGAUGGAAUUAGUGGUGUAGGGGUAAAAUCCGUAGAUAUCACUAGGAAUACCGAAAGCGAAGGCGAUCUCCUGGAACAAUACUGACGCUAAGGCGUGAAAGCGUGGGGAGCAAACGGGAUUAGAUACCCCGGUAGUCCACGCCCUAAACGAUGAACACUAGUCGUCGGAAUGCUAGUCAUUUCGGUGAUGCACUUAACAGAUUAAGUGUUCCGCCUGGGGAGUACGGUCGCAAGAUUAAAACUCAAAGGAAUAGACGGGGACCCGCACAAGUGGUGGAGCAUGUGGUUUAAUUCGAAGAUACGCGAAGAACCUUACCUAGCCUUGACAUUGAUUGAACUCAGUAGAGAUACAGAGGUGCCCUUCGGGGAACAUGAAAACAGGUGCUGCACGGCUGUCGUCAGCUCGUGUCGUGAGAUGUUGGGUUAAGUCCCGCAACGAGCGCAACCCUCGUCUUUAGUUGCCAGCAGGUUAAGCUGGGCACUCUAAAGAGACUGCCUUCGCAAGGAGGAGGAAGGUGAGGACGACGUCAAGUCAUCAUGGCCCUUAUGGCUAGGGCUACACACGUGCUACAAUGGGGCGUACAGAGUGUUGCGAUACCGCGAGGUGGAGCUAAUCACUUAAAGCGUCUCUCAGUUCGGAUUGGAGUCUGCAACUCGACUCCAUGAAGCUGGAAUCACUAGUAAUCGUAGAUCAGCAAUGCUACGGUGAAUACGUUCCCGGGUCUUGCACACACCGCCCGU